UAUGGGAGGAAGGUUUGAUGCUUAUCCUUGUGGUAUGAAAGAGUACUACGAUAAACUCAUGCAAGAUUAUCAAGAACAACUCAAGGACGCUAAAGAGCGAUAUUACAUGCAACUGACUUCCUUCUUGGAAGUCGAUAACUCAUUCUUUUCAAAAUGGCAUGGGGACCUUAGUGCCGAUGAUAAGGCUAAAGAAGGACAACGACGCAUGGAUUUUCAGACUGGUUCAUUUUUCAGUCAUGAAGUUUUCGAUGUGAAGUCUGAAGAUUCAAAAGAAACCUCAAAGCCCUAGAAGAGAUUGGCACCCAUUGGAUUACCAAGGACAAAAUCUUGCUUUAAAGUCGACAUGUCUUUCUGUUGGGAUCGUUUCGCAUUGUUCUAGUACAAUAUGUAUGGUUGGUUUGAAUAUGGACUAAGUUUCUUUUCUUCUUAUUUGAUAGUAAUUUUCCCCGUUUGGGCACAAAAGAAGAAAAGAAAUUAAUCACUACCAUAUAUAUUUUCUUUCAGUUAUUGUAUUUUGAAUUAUCAGACUUAGUUCAAGAACUUCAUGUUUCCU